UACGUAGGGGGCAAGCGUUGUCCGGAUUUAUUGGGCGUAAAGAGCGUGUAGGCGGCUAGACAGGUCCGCUGUGAAAACUCGAGGCUCAACCUCGAGACGUCGGUGGAAACCGUUUGGCUAGAGUCCGGAAGAGGAGAGUGGAAUUCCCGGUGUAGCGGUGAAAUGCGCAGAUAUCGGGAAGAACACCAAAGGCGAAGGCACCCUGCUGGGCCGAUAUUGACACUGACAGACGAAAAGCUAGGGGAGCAAAAUGGG
rnacentral:rRNA from 1 species